GACAUAUCACGUUGAAACACCAGUUCUCAUACAAUCACAUGUUAAGCAAUGUCGAGCCUGGUGAGUACCUAGAUGGGUGACUGCUUGAGAAUACCAGGUGCUGUAAG